rnacentral:rRNA from 1 species
GGCUCAGGAUGAACGCUAGCUACAGGCUUAACACAUGCAAGUCGAGGGGCGGCAUGAAGUCAGCUUGCUGACUUUGAUGGCGACCGGCGCACGGGUGAGUAACGCGUAUCCAACCUUCCCCUUACUCAGGAAUAGCCCGUUGAAAGACGGAUUAAUGCCUGAUGUUCUCUUUUUCCGGCAUCGGUAAUAGAGCAAAGAUUCAUCGGUGGCGGAUGGGCAUGCGGCGCAUUAGCUAGUUGGAGGGGUAACGGCCCACCAAGGCGACGAUGCGUAGGGGUUCUGAGAGGAAGGUCCCCCACACUGGUACUGAGACACGGACCAGACUCCUACGGGAGGCAGCAGUGAGGAAUAUUGGUCAAUGGACGAGAGUCUGAACCAGCCAAGUAGCGUGCAGGAUGACGGCCCUCUGGGUUGUAAACUGCUUUUAGUUGGGAAUAAAAGAGGGACGUGUCCCUAAUUGUAUGUACCAUCAGAAAAGGACCGGCUAAUUCCGUG